AAUGAACGCUGGCGGUAUGCUUAACACAUGCAAGUCGAACGAUGAGAAAGAGCUUGCUCUUUCGAUUAGUGGCGGACGGGUGAGUAACGCGUAGGAAUCUACCUAUUAGUGGGGGACAACUUAGGGAAACUUAAGCUAAUACCGCAUACGCCCCACGGGGGAAAGAAGGGGAUCGCAAGACCUUUUGCUACUAGAUGAGCCUGCGUAGGAUUAGCUGGUUGGUGGGGUAAAAGCUCACCAAGGCGACGAUCCUUAACUGGUUUGAGAGAAUGAUCAGGCACACUGGAACUGAGACACGGUCCAGACUCCUACGGGAGGCAGCAGUGGGGAAUAUUGGACAAUGGGCGAAAGCCUGAUCCAGCAAUACCGCGUGUGUGAAGAAGGCCUUAGGGUUGUGAAGCACUUUCAAUUGGAAGGAAAACCUCGAAGCUAAUACCUUCGAGUUUGACAUUACCUUUAGAAGAAGCACCGGCUAACUCCGUGCCAGCCGCCGCAGUAA
rnacentral:rRNA from 1 species